rnacentral:lncRNA from 1 species
CUGAGCCGUGCCUGGUUAGCCUCAGGGAAGGCUCCAGCCUGGGGAACGUGGAAGGUGGUCUUUAUUGGCUUGCCAGAAUCUCUGUGUGGAGUCACACCCACCAUUCCUUCUCCGAAAGGGACAGAAAAACAGACCCACUAUGGCCCGUGCAAUAUGGUAAACAGAUGUCUGCCUCACGCAGCUGAAUGAGUUGGCUUUCCAGAGACAUAAAGGUAGCAGAAGAUAUCUUGGGAAGAGUUGGGAGAGGAAGCUCACAAACCAUGCAUUGCUACCCCUCCAGGACGGGGAUUAAAAUAUAGUUCUGUGCCACCCACCAGUAACUCCCUCUAGUUCAAGAUCCAGGUGCAAGAGAAUGUCAUUCAAGAACCAAUAUCCACCAGGUAACUCUUAGAACCUUGAUCACCUUCACCUGGGCUGACUGUGACAUCACUACUAUCCCUAACCUUUAGUUUACAUUUAUUCAUUCAUACUGUACCCUGACUCACAUCCUUUGUUUCCUUCACAAACUUUUAGCCUCCUAGCAACUGUUGACAUCCACCUUUCCCUGGUCUCACCCUUUUCCUGAGUUGAUCUCACCAACCUGUGAGACAGCCAAGGGCUUUUUCCUUGUCCUGGAGUCAGCUGAAUAUACAGAUGCCUGUACUUGUGCCAAAGCAUCUUUAUGAUACUUGUGGUCCACCUGCUCUUUGUUCAUCAACUUCUGGACACACGUGCCCAGCCUGCAGUUCCAGAGAUGUGUGUGAAGGAGGAUUUAAACGAGUUCACAUUUAUGGGGUUGAGUAAUUCAUUCCCACAUGUGGAUAACUUGCUCUCAAGGCAAUAUGCACAAUACAUUUAGCCUCUCUGCUCUGAGAAAAAGAACGAACCAGUAUCGCCACAUUUGGCUGCCAAUUGUAAGCUGUCUUUAUGGGAAACCAGACUGGCCUGUACAGCAUUCAUCGGUGAGUCAGUGCUAUAAGGAUGCAAGUGAUCUGCCUCUCUACUCCUCAAGCCCUACUCUGCCCUUUGAUUAAAAACAAUAAUCAAACUAAUUACAAUUUCUCCAAACAAAAGGAUGUUCUAGUGUGAUACAACAUAGUUCUGAAAAUGUAAAUUUUAGUAAAAAAUAAGAAUGGAAAAUUUCUGACCUUGCAUAUUUAUUUUUUUUUAAAUAGCAGAAGCUGUCCAGGCAGGGAGAGUGUGCCC